rnacentral:misc_RNA from 1 species
UGGUUCUGGCAUCGAUGAAGAACGCAGCGAAAUGCGAUAAGUAAUGCGAAUUGCAGAAUCCGUGAGUCAUCGAAUCUUUGAACGCACAUUGCGCCCUUUGGUAUUCCGAAGGGCAUGCCUAUUCGAGCGUCAUUAUCACCCCUCAAGCCCUUGGCUUGGUGCUGGAUUGGGUAGUCGUAUACCCAUCUCAAAGAUAAUGACGCCGUCCCAGAGGGAAACGGUACGAGGAGCUUCUUGUUAAGCAUGUACUGAAGAUGACUCUGUGGCGGUGGUCUUAACCCCUAUAUUUUUUUAAGUGUUGACCUCGGAUUAGGUAGGAAUACCCGCUGA